GUCGACUUCUCUCCCUCACUAAUUCAAAUCUUCUCUCGUCUUCUUAAUUUUACUCUUCGUCUGCGCCGGUUGCGGUGUUGCACAACGUCCGCAAUAGGUUUCCAACAGACAGAUCGAUCUGGUGCUUAUGCGUUUUCUGCAUUUGUUACAUUUAAAGAUGCUUAUUCUCAAGAAACAUCUGUCUUUCUCAGUGUGAGUCUGAAUAUUAAAUAAACUCUUUGCUGGAAAGCAAGCUCUAUGUCGCGCGUCUAAAGCCGCUGCUAACUUGGGUAGUCGCAAUGUUAAAUAUUGACUCAAUCAAUCAUCCCUUUUAACA